UACAGAGGUCCCAAGCGUUGUUCGGAUUCACUGGGCGUAAAGGGUGCGUAGGCGGCUCAUGAAGGCUGUGGUGAAAGUCCGGGGCUCAACCUCGGAUCGGCCGUGGCGACUCGUGGGCUGGAGCACUGUAGAGGCGGGUGGAAUUCCGGGUGUAGCGGUGGAAUGCGUAGAGAUCCGGAAGAACACCAGUGGCGAAGGCGGCCCGCUGAGCAGUGGCUGACGCUGAGGCGCGACAGCGUGGGGAGCAAACAGG
rnacentral:rRNA from 1 species